rnacentral:rRNA from 1 species
AUACGGAGGAUCCGAGCGUUAUCCGGAUUUAUUGGGUUUAAAGGGAGCGUAGGUGGAUUGUUAAGUCAGUUGUGAAAGUUUGCGGCUCAACCGUAAAAUUGCAGUUGAAACUGGCAGUCUUGAGUACAGUAGAGGUGGGCGGAAUUCGUGGUGUAGCGGUGAAAUGCUUAGAUAUACCGAAGAACUCCGAUUGCGAAGGCAGCUCACUAGACUGUUACUGACACUGAUGCUCGAAAGUGUGGGUAUCAAACAGGAUUAGAUACCCUGGUAGUCCACACAGUAAACGAUGAAUACUCGCUGUUUGCGAUAUACAGUAAGCGGCCAAGCGAAAGCAUUAAGUAUUCCACCUGGGGAGUACGCCGGCAGCGGUGAAACUCAAAGGAAUUGACGGGG